rnacentral:tRNA from 1 species
GGUGGCUCACUGGUAGAGUGUUUGCCUUGCAAGCAUGAGGCCCUGGGUUCGAUUCCUCAGCACCA